UACGUAGGGUGCGAGCGUUAAUCGGAAUUACUGGGCGUAAAGCGUGCGCAGGCGGUUUUGUAAGUCAGGUGUGAAAUCCCCGGGCUUAACCUGGGAAUGGCAUUUGGGACUGCAAGGCUUGAGUGCGGCAGAGGAGACUAGAAUUCCUGGUGUAGCAGUGAAAUGCGUAGAUAUCAGGAGGAAUACCGAUGGCGAAGGCAGGUCUCUGGGCUGACACUGACGCUCAUGCACGAAAGCGUGGGGAGCAAACAGG
rnacentral:rRNA from 1 species